UACAGAGGUCCCAAGCGUUGUUCGGAUUCACUGGGCGUAAAGGGUGCGUAGGUGGCUGGGAAAGUUUGAUGUGAAAGCUCGGAGCUUAACUCCGAAAUGGCAUUGAAUACUUCCUAGCUUGAGGGUCGGAGGGGAGACUGGAAUUCUCGGUGUAGCAGUGAAAUGCGUAGAUAUCGAGAGGAACACCAGUGGCGAAGGCGAGUCUCUGGACGACUCCUGACACUGAGGCACGAAAGCUAGGGGAGCAAACAGG
rnacentral:rRNA from 1 species